rnacentral:tRNA from 1 species
AAGCAAGAAGCGAAAAAUCGCAACCAGUUUCGACCUGGUCAAUGGUAAUAAUUCCUACCCUUACUUU